UUUAUUGUAUAAAAGUACAUAAAACAAACGCGAUCUUUGGAACCUCCAGGAUACUUUGGGAAGGUGUAAAAAUGGAAGGUGCACCACUCUGGAAGCGAAGGUGCAACGAUAUGGAAAUGAAGGGGCGGUAGCAGACGUUGCUAAUGUAAACAAAUAUAUGUCAGGAGUAUAUAAGGGAAACUCUGGUAACUGGAGAAGGUGCACACUAUUACAAUUAAAUAGUCACCUUCUGUAAUUUGGAUGGGUUAUUAAAUAACACCUUCUGGGCCAUUCUAAGGCUCCGUAAUCACAAUCUAUAUCCGACAAAUGUAAAUCCCAAACUGGUACCUUCAACGGGCCUCUCUGUUUAUAAACACAGAAGAGUUACGUCAUUAUCCAAUCAGCGAGCGUCUAACAAACAAGGUAGCGCGUGCGAAACUUCAAGCCGAAGUAAUCAAAUACGGAGGGAAAUCGAAGCACAUUAGGGCUGUAAACAUGGAUUAUGGAUAAAAUAUCGCUUAUGGUGGAUGGUAAAACAUGAAAUAAACACAGAACAUUUGUCCUCAAAUGAAAACAAAGAAGAAGGCAUGGAUGGUUGGAGACAUGGUGUUUAUGGCAACAGUUGGUAUGAAUGGUUCUCGAACUCCUGAAGACAAAAGAACUGGGCUUCCCUCUGGAGGCAAAACAGAAGGGAAGGAUCAGAUGGAAGACAGUUCAGUGGGAGCUCAGCUCCAUGACGGAGAUAAUUCAGGAUGAAAAUAAAUAGUUUUGGAUCUCGGUCGAUGAAGUAGGUGUAAAUAUUGUCAACGGCAUAGGGUUUCAGUGGAGAUGAUGGGAGGAUCAUCCGAGCCAGCAGGGAGCUUGGGUCAGCC